UGCAAGUCGAGCGCGGGAAGCGAGUGGAUCCCUUCGGGGUGAAGCUCGUGGAACGAGCGGCGGACGGGUGAGUAACACGUGGGCAACCUGCCUGUAAGACCGGAAUAACCCCGGGAAACCGGGGCUAAUGCCGGGUAAUACUUUUCUUCGCAUGAAGGAAAGUUGAAAGAUGGCUUCUUGCUAUCACUUACAGAUGGGCCCGCGGCGCAUUAGCUAGUUGGUGAGGUAACGGCUCACCAAGGCGACGAUGCGUAGCCGACCUGAGAGGGUGAUCGGCCACACUGGGACUGAGACACGGCCCAGACUCCUACGGGAGGCAGCAGUAGGGAAUCUUCCGCAAUGGACGAAAGUCUGACGGAGCAACGCCGCGUGAACGAUGAAGGUCUUCGGAUCGUAAAGUUCUGUUGUUAGGGAAGAACAAGUACCGUGCGAAUAGAGCGGUACCUUGACGGUACCUAACGAGGAAGCCCCGGCUAACUACGUGCCAGCAGCCGCGGUAAUACGUAGGGGGCAAGCGUUGUCCGGAAUUAUUGGGCGUAAAGCGCGCGCAGGCGGUUCCUUAAGUCUGAUGUGAAAGCCCACGGCUCAACCGUGGAGGGUCAUUGGAAACUGGGGAACUUGAGGACAGAAGAGGAGAGUGGAAUUCCACGUGUAGCGGUGAAAUGCGUAGAUAUGUGGAGGAACACCAGUGGCGAAGGCGACUCUCUGGUCUGUUUCUGACGCUGAGGUGCGAAAGCGU
rnacentral:rRNA from 1 species